AUCCCAUGCUGUUCUAUGAAGACAUUUUCUGCCUUGAGCCAAAGGCUGCAAAAUGCUCACACUGGAGGAUUGAACCCAG
rnacentral:lncRNA from 1 species